AACGAACGCUGGCGGCCUGCCUAACACAUGCAAGUCGAACGAGACCUUCGGGUCUAGUGGCGCACGGGUGCGUAACGCGUGGGAACCUGCCUUUAGGUUCGGAAUAACUCAGAGAAAUUUGAGCUAAUACCGGAUGAUGUCUUCGGACCAAAGAUUUAUCGCCUUUAGAUGGGCCCGCGUUGGAUUAGCUAGUUGGUGGGGUAAAGGCCUACCAAGGCGACGAUCCAUAGCUGGUCUGAGAGGAUGAUCAGCCACACUGGGACUGAGACACGGCCCAGACUCCUACGGGAGGCAGCAGUGGGGAAUAUUGGACAAUGGGCGAAAGCCUGAUCCAGCAAUGCCGCGUGAGUGAUGAAGGCCUUAGGGUUGUAAAGCUCUUUUAACCGAGAUGAUAAUGACAGUAUCGGGAGAAUAAGCUCCGGCUAACUCCGUG
rnacentral:rRNA from 1 species